UCUGCCGCCAAGCAGGAUGCGCAGCGCCGGGCACCGGCAGCCGCUCCGGCAAAGUGCGUAGCCCCGCAGCGCGGAGGGGUCGGGGCACCAGACUUCUCCGUGAGGAUCUGGAUUGCAAAGAGCUUCACCAUACUUGGAGCUUCAUGUGGUGGAUGUGGACUUUAAAACAGUGUGUCUCAACAUUUCAUCCUCAACUAUCUGUUUUUAAUCUGAUUGCACUACAAAAGAAAAGCUGCUAAUGGGAUAAAUGUUGAGACGUUGCAAGAACUGACUUGAAGUACCAAAAGCCAUUACUAUAAAUCAAGAAGAGCUCGAAGCUAAGUCUGUAUCCGAUUAGUCAGU
rnacentral:lncRNA from 1 species